GACGUAGGGGGCCAGCGUUGCUCGGAAUUACUGGGUGUAAAGGGUUCGUAGGCGGUGUGGCAAGUCGGGUGUGAAAUCUCUGAGCUUAACUCAGGGCCUGCUUCCGAAACUGCUGUGCUAGAGUGUGGGAGAGGCGCGUGGAAUUGCAGGUGUAGCGGUGAAAUGCGUAGAUAUCUGCAGGAACACCCGUGGCGAAAGCGGCGCGCUGGACCACUACUGACGCUGAGGAACGAAAGCUAGGGGAGCAAACAGG
rnacentral:rRNA from 1 species